rnacentral:lncRNA from 1 species
AAGGCGCGGAACUACUCAGUGGUGAAGGCUGUGCGGACACUGGGGGCCCGCCAGGGGUUUGGCCCCUUACUCAACCCAACCACGGUCCUCUCCGGCGCAGGCCGAUUUGAGGACCUAGACUCCUUGAUGCUGACGGCCUGAGGGGGCUCCCGGGUGCCGGAUAUCUGACACAGGCCAGGGAGGCUCCCCUGGGAGACCUGGCAGGCCUGGAGGUGUGAGUCGGCUCUGAGCAGCUGCUCUGGGAGAGCCAGUCCACGGAGCCAAAGCUGGAGGGCAGCUGCCGGCCACAAGUUGGGGAGGAGGAGAGACGCAAGGCCGUCAGAUGCUUGUCCUGGAAACCAACCAUGAGCUGUGAUGAAAUCCAGGCAACUGAGUUGUGUUUCAGCCCAAAGCAGCAAAUGGAAUCCAGCUUCAGGACCAUCAUCUGACAUAGGGGAAGAAGACUUACAUAGAAGGCCUAACCAGCACCCAAGAUCAUGGCUGGUGUCAGAGAAGGCUGAAUUGGGUACCAAGACAUUCCUUCUCUCCAGGUGGUAACAAGGACCCUCACAUGGUAUUAAUGAAGACCAAAUGUUUGAAUUUCUGCUUGACUUCUUCAAUUGUGAAAUCUGGAUCUAUGCAGACUAUGGAAAUAAUGUUAGAUAGAAAGCAAAUUCAAGUGAUUUUCUUAUUUGUGUUCAAAAUGAGUCGUAAAGCAGUGGAGACAACUCACAACAUCAACAACACAUUUGGCCCAGGAACUGCUAAAGAACAUACAGUGCAGUGGUAGCUCAAGAAGUUUUGUAAAGGAGAUGAGAGCCUUGAAGAUGAGGAGUCUAGUGGCUGGCCAUUGGAAGUUGACAACUACCAAUUGAGAGCAGUCAUCGAAGCUGAUUGAUCCUCUUAGAACUACAUGAGAUGGUUGCCGAAGAACUCAAUGUUGACCAUUCUAUGGUUGUUCGGCAUUUGAAGCAAAUUGUAAAGAUGAAAAAGCUUGAUAAGUGAGUGUCUCAUGAACUGAGUGAAAAAAAAAAUCUUUGUUUUGAAGUGUUGUCCUCUUUUUUUUCUUGACGGAGGCUUGCUCUGUAGCCGGGCUAGAGUGCAGUGGCGUGAUCUCAGCUCACUGCAACCUCCACCUCUCCAGUUCAAGCGAUUCUCCUGCCUCAGCCUCCUGAGUAGCUGAGAUUACAGGCACCCACCGCCAUGCCCAGCUAAUUUUUUGCAUUUUUAGUAGAGAUGGGGUUUCACCAUGUUGACCAGGCUGGUCUUGAACUCCUGAUCUCGGGUGAUCUGCCCGCCUUGGCCUCCCAAAGUUCUGGGAUUACAGGUGUAAGCCACCGCGUCCGGUCUAUCAUCCUCUCUUAUUCUACAAAACAACAACAAACCAUUUCUCCAUCGGAUUGUGAUGUGCCAUGAAAAAUGGAUUUUAUACAACAAUUGGCAGUGACCAGCUCAAUGGUUGGAUUGAGAAGAAGAUCCAAAAAACGUUCCAAAUAUAAACUUACACCAAAAAAUGGUCAUGGUCACUGUUUAGUGGUCUGCUGCUGGUCUGAUCCCCUAUAGCUUUCUGAAUCCUGGUGAAACCAUUAGAUCUGAGAAGUAUGCUGAGCAAAUUGAUGCGAUGCACAGAAAACUGCAAUGCCUGCAGCUGGCAUUGGUCAACAGAAAAGGCCCAAGUCUUCUCCAUGGCAGUGCCUGACUGCAUGUCACACAAUCAAUGCUUUAAAAGUUGAACAAAUUGUGCUGUGAAGUUUUGCCUCAUCUGCCAUAUUGACCCUGCCGUAUUCACCUGACCUCUUGCCAACUGACUACCACUUCUUCAAGCUUCUCAGCAACUUUUUGCAGGGAAAACACUUGCCUGCAAAAAGUGCUUUCGAAGAGUUCGUGGAAUUCCAACACACUGAUUUUUAUGCUACAGGAAUAAACAGACUUAUUUCUCUUUGGCAAAAAUGUGUUGAUUGUAAUCGUUCCUAUUUUGAUUAAUAAAGAUGUGUUGAGCCUAGUUAUAAUGAUUUAAAAUUCACAGUCCAAAAUCACAUUUACUUUUGCACCAACCUAAUAAAAUACUACAAAAAUAUGGUUUGACUAUAU